rnacentral:piRNA from 1 species
UAGCAUUUCUCUAAACCUCUACCUCUAUGA